AUCAUUUAAUAGAUCAAUAUUACACGGGGAUGUGGUUCAUCAUCAUUAUUUACAGUAUGUUAUGGACUAUCAACAUUCCAUUCGCUCGAUGCCAUCUACCAGACUACGCAUCUACACCGUCUAACAAAAUAGACCAGUUCUGCAGUCUCGCUGACAACUGUAUACAUGACACCAUACCGAUUUGCGGUAAAAUGGGGGACGAAAAGCGGACUUUCCUGGAUUUAUGUGAUUUAUUAGAAUUUGCCUGCGAU